AUUCAAAUAGUUUAAUUAAAAAUAUUGAUUUGUGAUAUCAGAGAUAUAAAAUUUUUAUUUUGAAUU
rnacentral:tRNA from 1 species